CACUAUCGUUAACUGAAUACAUAGGUUAACGAGGCGAACCGGGGGAACUGAAACAUCUAAGUACCCCGAGGAAAAGAAAUCAACCGAGAUUCCCCCAGUAGCGGCGAGCGAACGGGGAGCAGCCCAGAGUCUGAAUCAGCUUGUGUGUUAGUGGAACGGUCUGGAAAGUCCGACGGUACAGGGUGAUAGUCCCGUACACCAAAAUGCACAGGCUGUGAACUCGAAGAGUAGGGCGGGACACGUGGUAUCCUGUCUGAAUAUGGGGGGACCAUCCUCCAAGGCUAAAUACUCCUGACUGACCGAUAGUGAACCAGUACCGUGAGGGAAAGGCGAAAAGAACCCCGGCGAGGGGAGUGAAAAAGAACCUGAAACCGUGUACGUACAAGCAGUGGGAGCACCUUCGGGUGUGACUGCGUACCUUUUGUAUAAUGGGUCAGCGACUUAUAUUCUGUAGCAAGGUUAACCGUAUAGGGGAGCCGCAGGGAAACCGAGUCUUAACUGGGCGUUAAGUUGCAGGGUAUAGACCCGAAACCCGGUGAUCUAGCCAUGGGCAGGUUGAAGGUUGGGUAACACUAACUGGAGGACCGAACCGACUAAUGUUGAAAAAUUAGCGGAUGACUUGUGGCUGGGGGUGAAAGGCCAAUCAAACCGGGAGAUAGCUGGUUCUCCCCGAAAGCUAUUUAGGUAGCGCCUCGUGAACUCAUCUUCGGGGGUAGAGCACUGUUUCGGCUAGGGGGUCAUCCCGACUUACCAACCCGAUGCAAACUACGAAUACCGAAGAAUGUUAUCACGGGAGACACACGGCGGGUGCUAACGUCCGUCGUGAAGAGGGAAACAACCCAGACCGCCAGCUAAGGUCCCAAAGUCAUGGUUAAGUGGGAAACGAUGUGGGAAGGCACAGACAGCCAGGAUGUUGGCUUAGAAGCAGCCAUCAUUUAAAGAAAGCGUAAUAGCUCACUGGUCGAGUCGGCCUGCGCGGAAGAUGUAACGGGGCUAAACCAUGCACCGAAGCUGCGGCAGCGACACUAUGUGUUGUUGGGUAGGGGAGCGUUCUGUAAGCCUGCGAAGGUGACCUGUGAGGGUUGCUGGAGGUAUCAGAAGUGCGAAUGCUGACAUAAGUAACGAUAAAGCGGGUGAAAAGCCCGCUCGCCGGAAGACCAAGGGUUCCUGUCCAACGUUAAUCGGGGCAGGGUGAGUCGACCCCUAAGGCGAGGCCGAAAGGCGUAGUCGAUGGGAAACAGGUUAAUAUUCCUGUACUUGGUGUUACUGCGAAGGGGGGACGGAGAAGGCUAUGUUAGCCGGGCGACGGUUGUCCCGGUUUAAGCAUGUAGGCUGGUUAUCCAGGCAAAUCCGGAUAAUCAAGGCUGAGGUGUGAUGACGAGGCACUACGGUGCUGAAGUAACAAAUGCCCUGCUUCCAGGAAAAGCCUCUAAGCAUCAGGUAACAUCAAAUCGUACCCCAAACCGACACAGGUGGUCAGGUAGAGAAUACCAAGGCGCUUGAGAGAACUCGGGUGAAGGAACUAGGCAAAAUGGUGCCGUAACUUCGGGAGAAGGCACGCUGGUGUGUAGGUGAAGUCCCUGCGGAUGGAGCUGAGACCAGUCGAAGAUACCAGCUGGCUGCAACUGUUUAUUAAAAACACAGCACUGUGCAAACACGAAAGUGGACGUAUACGGUGUGACGCCUGCCCGGUGCCGGAAGGUUAAUUGAUGGGGUUAUCCGUAAGGAGAAGCUCUUGAUCGAAGCCCCGGUAAACGGCGGCCGUAACUAUAACGGUCCUAAGGUAGCGAAAUUCCUUGUCGGGUAAGUUCCGACCUGCACGAAUGGCGUAAUGAUGGCCAGGCUGUCUCCACCCGAGACUCAGUGAAAUUGAACUCGCUGUGAAGAUGCAGUGUACCCGCGGCAAGACGGAAAGACCCCGUGAACCUUUACUAUAGCUUGACACUGAACAUUGAGCCUUGAUGUGUAGGAUAGGUGGGAGGCUUUGAAGCGUGGACGCCAGUCUGCGUGGAGCCAACCUUGAAAUACCACCCUUUAAUGUUUGAUGUUCUAACGUUGGCCCCUUACCGGGGUUGCGGACAGUGUCUGGUGGGUAGUUUGACUGGGGCGGUCUCCUCCCAAAGCGUAACGGAGGAGCACGAAGGUUAGCUAAUCCUGGUCGGACAUCAGGAGGUUAGUGCAAUGGCAUAAGCUAGCUUGACUGCGAGCGUGACGGCGCGAGCAGGUGCGAAAGCAGGUCAUAGUGAUCCGGUGGUUCUGAAUGGAAGGGCCAUCGCUCAACGGAUAAAAGGUACUCCGGGGAUAACAGGCUGAUACCGCCCAAGAGUUCAUAUCGACGGCGGUGUUUGGCACCUCGAUGUCGGCUCAUCACAUCCUGGGGCUGAAGUAGGUCCCAAGGGUAUGGCUGUUCGCCAUUUAAAGUGGUACGCGAGCUGGGUUUAGAACGUCGUGAGACAGUUCGGUCCCUAUCUGCCGUGGGCGCUGGAGAAUUGAGGGGGGCUGCUCCUAGUACGAGAGGACCGGAGUGGACGCAUCACUGGUGUUCGGGUUGUCAUGCCAAUGGCACUGCCCGGUAGCUAAAUGCGGAAGAGAUAAGUGCUGAAAGCAUCUAAGCACGAAACUUGCCCCGAGAUGAGUUCUCCCUGAGACUUUAAGUCUCCUGAAGGAACGUU
rnacentral:rRNA from 1 species